UACAGAGGUCCCAAGCGUUGUUCGGAUUCAUUGGGCGUAAAGGGCUCGUAGGCGGUCUGUUGCGUCGGGAGUGAAAACUCAGGGCUUAACCCUGAGCCUGCUUCCGAUACGGGCAGACUAGAGGUAUGCAGGGGAGAACGGAAUUCCUGGUGUAGCGGUGAAAUGCGCAGAUAUCAGGAGGAACACCGGUGGCGAAGGCGGUUCUCUGGGCAUUACCUGACGCUGAGGAGCGAAAGUGUGGGGAGCGAACAGG
rnacentral:rRNA from 1 species